rnacentral:rRNA from 1 species
GACGAACGCUGGCGGCGUGCUUAACACAUGCAAGUCGAACGGAAAGUCCCUGCUUUUUUGGGGUGCUCUAGUUGCGAACUGGUGAGUAACACGUGGGUUACCUGCCCUUGACUUUGGGAUAACUUCAUGAAACUUGGUCUCAUAGCGGCUAAGAGCUCCUGCUUCAUGGUGGGGGUUGGAAGGUUUCGGCGGUUGGGGAGGGACUCGCGGCUUAUCAGCUUGUUGGUGGGGUAGUGGCUUAGCAAGGCUUUGACAGGUAGCCGGCCUGAAAGGGUGACCGGACACGUCAGGAUUGAACUAAGGCACAGCCCACACCGGGAGGCAGGGGUGGGGAAUGGUGCAUAAGGGGAUGAAGCAUGAUGUAGUAACGCAGCGCGGGGGAUGACGGGAUUCGCGUUGUAAUGCGAUUUCCCCUGUGACGAAGCGAGAGUGACGGUAAUGGGUAAAGAAGCACCGGCUAACUCCGUG